AAGUCCACAUCUAGCUACUGGGUGGUCCGAUCUCGAAGUUUCUUGCCCACAAAAGCCGAACGGUGACGCCCUAGACUCGGUUCCUUGGUUCCGUCCCAAAACGCCGAAGAAAGGCACAAUGGCCUAGAAAGGGACGAUCGGACUUGGAACGGGGUCCGAGGCCUCGAAAGUCCACAUCUAGCUACUGGGUGGUCCGAUGUCGAAGUUUCUUGCCCACAAAACCCGAACGGUGACGCCCCAGACUCGGUUUCUUGGUUCCGUCCCAAAACGCAGAAGAAAGGCACAAUGGCCUAGAAAGGGACGACCGGACUUGGAACGGGGUCCGAGGCCUCGAAAGUCCACAUCUAGCUACUGGGUGGUCCGAUCUCGAAGUUUCUUGCCCACAAAAGCCGAACGGUGACGCCCCAGACUGGGUUUCUUCGUUUCGUGCCAGAACGCUGAAGAAAGGCACAGUGGCCUAGAAAGGGACGACCGGACUUGGAACGGGUCCGAGGCGUCAAAAGUCCACAUCUAGCUUCUGGGUGGUCCGAUCUCGAAGUUUCUUGCCACAAAAGCCGAACGGUAACGCCCAGACUCGCUCUGGUUUCUUGGUUCCGUCCCAAAACGCCGAAGAAAGGCAUAAUUGCUAGAAAGGGACGACCGGACUUGGAACGGGGUCCGAGGCCUCGAAAGUCCACAUCUAGCUACUGGGUGGUCCGAUGUCGAAGUUUCUUGCCCACAAAAUCCGAACGGUGACGCUCCAGACUCGGUUUCUUGGUUCCGUCCCAGAACGCCGAAGAAAGGCACAAUGGCCAAGAAAGGGACGACCGGACUUGGAACGGGGUCCGAGGCCUUGAAAGUCCCCAUCUAGCUACUAGGUGGUCCGAUCUCGAAGUUUCUUGCCCACAAAAGCCGAACGGUGACGCCCAGACUCGGUUACUUGGUUCCGUCCCAAAACGCCGAAGAAAUGCACAAUGGCCUAGA
rnacentral:lncRNA from 1 species